GUUCAGAAGGAUCUGCAAUGGCGGUUUAUGGUGAAAAGGAUAAAGUUGAGAGUUUUGGAGGUAGAGAAGAGCAUUCUGAUGUGAGUGAGGAGGUAACUUGUCCCGUUUGUGGCAAUAAUGUGAGAGGGAAUAACUUCACAAUCAAAUCUCGUCUAGGGGUAGGAAAAGUUGGCAAAAGGUGCUCAUCUAAGUUAGGUUGGAUUGCGCGCCACAUGACCCUGCUCCAAGUCUAGGCUUAGAGGGAUAUUCCACAACCAAAAAAAGUGGCGAUGGUCGCUAGACUCAAGUACUUUAAAGCAAAGACGACGUUUUUAUCUAGGAAUCAGACAUUUUAAUACUCGCGCAUUCUUUGGGACAUGUUAUGCAGUGGUGCUCCUUGAGAAAAGGAAGUAUUUCGCUUAGUGCUUUGGCUCCAUUUGGUGGUUUUACUUUCAUGACUCUGAAUUAUUAGGGAUAACACAUAUCACUACCUCUGAUAUUAAGAUUGUGUUAUUUUGCAGCAAAAAGCAAAGAAGCUUGAUAAUUCUAGUGGACUAAUUAAGCUCUAUCAUGAUAUGUGUCAUCACAAGACUAAGGGUUGGACUGGGACAGUACUGAGGAGAAC